GAUGAAGAACGUAGCGAAAUGCGAUAAGUAAUGUGAAUUGCAGAAUUCAGUGAAUCAUCGAAUCUUUAAACGCACAUUGCGCCCGCCAGUAUUCUGGCGGGCAUGCCUGUUCGAGCGUCAUUACAACCCUCAGGCCCCCGGGCCUGGCGUUGGGGAUCGGCGGAGCCCCCCGUGGGCACACGCCGUCCCCCAAAUACAGUGGCGGUCCCGCCGCAGCUUCCAUCGCGUAGUAGCUAACACCUCGCGACUGGAGAGCGGCGCGGCCACGCCGUAAAACACCCAACUCUUCUGAAGUUGACCUCGAAUCAGGUAGGAAUACCCGCUGAACUUAAGCAUAUCAAUAAGCGGAGGA
rnacentral:misc_RNA from 1 species